rnacentral:lncRNA from 1 species
AUUGCUCCUGUGUUUCAUAGAUGGGAAAUCAUACUGAUGACUCAACCAUAUAUAGCAUUAUUUUGCUGGUUCAUGCUACCUCAGCGGAAACUGCCAAAGGUCAUCUGACAUAAUAGCUGAUGAAUUCAAGCCCAGUGGAUUUCAUUUGCAAUUUUCAAUUUACUGAGGCCUCCAAACCCCACGGUGAUAAAAGCUUCCCCUAUCGUGGCCUGUCACAAACAUCAAGAAACUGCACAAACCCACAAGAAAGAAAAAAGAGAAAGCUGUGCAUCAUCACAGCUAUAGAUAAGGAGAACAGGAAGAAAUGGUACCAUGCGGGAAGGUGGGGAGCAGCAGCCUGUGUGGCUAGUUCUCUAAAUGCCAAUUGAAACGAAAAGACUAUGAGGAACAAUCAAAUAACUUCCACAGAAUAACAAGAUGUUUCUUUGGAGCUUUUAUGUGAAAAUUGCCUUCUAAUCUCUGACUUGACACGCUCCCACACAAAAAUGGAAGUGUAAAUAUGCAAAUAAAUAAAUGAAUAAAUAAU